rnacentral:rRNA from 1 species
GACGAACGCUGGCGGCGUGCUUAACACAUGCCAGUCGAACGGAAAGGCUCCAGCUUGCUGGAGUACUCGAGUGGCGAACGGGUGAGUAACACGUGGGUAAUCUGCCCUGCACUCUGGGAUAAGCCUGGGAAACUGGGUCUAAUACUGGAUAUGACCUUUCUCCUUAUGGGGUUUGGUGGAAAGUUUUUCGGUGUAGGAUGAGCCCGCGGCCUAUCCGCUUGUUGGUGGGGUGAUGGCCUACCAAGGCGACGACGGGUAGCCGGCCUGAGAGGGUGAUCGGCCACAGUGGGACUGAGAUACGGCCCAGACUCCUACGGGAGGCAGCAGUGGGGAAUAUUGCACAAUGGGCGGAAGCCUGAUGCAGCGACGCCGCGUGAGGGAUGACGGCCUUCGGGUUGUAAACCUCUUUCAGCAGGGACGAAGCGUAAGUGACGGUACCUGCAGAAGAAGCACCGGCUAACUACGUG